UACGUAGGGGGCAAGCGUUGUCCGGAAUCAUUGGGCGUAAAGCGCGUGUAGGCGGCUCGAUAAGUCUGCUGUGAAAGUCCAGGGCUCAACCCUGGGAUGCCGGUGGAUACUGUCGGGCUAGAGUGCGGAAGAGGCGAGUGGAAUUCCCGGUGUAGCGGUGAAAUGCGCAGAUAUCGGGAGGAACACCAAUUGCGAAGGCAGCUCGCUGGGACGUUACUGACGCUGAGACGCGAAAGCGUGGGGAGCAAACAGG
rnacentral:rRNA from 1 species